GGUUAAGCGACUAAGCGUACACGGUGGAUGCCCUGGCAGUCAGAGGCGAUGAAGGACGUGCUAAUCUGCGAUAAGCGUCGGUAAGGUGAUAUGAACCGUUAUAACCGGCGAUUUCCGAAUGGGGAAACCCAGUGUGUUUCGACACACUAUCAUUAACUGAAUCCAUAGGUUAAUGAGGCGAACCGGGGGAACUGAAACAUCUAAGUACCCCGAGGAAAAGAAAUCAACCGAGAUUCCCCCAGUAGCGGCGAGCGAACGGGGAGCAGCCCAGAGCCUGAAUCAGUGUGUGUGUUAGUGGAAGCGUCUGGAAAGGCGCGCGAUACAGGGUGACAGCCCCGUACACAAAAAUGCACAUGCUGUGAGCUCGAUGAGUAGGGCGGGACACGUGGUAUCCUGUCUGAAUAUGGGGGGACCAUCCUCCAAGGCUAAAUACUCCUGACUGACCGAUAGUGAACCAGUACCGUGAGGGAAAGGCGAAAAGAACCCCGGCGAGGGGAGUGAAAAAGAACCUGAAACCGUGUACGUACAAGCAGUGGGAGCACGCUUAGGCGUGUGACUGCGUACCUUUUGUAUAAUGGGUCAGCGACUUAUAUUCUGUAGCAAGGUUAACCGAAUAGGGGAGCCGAAGGGAAACCGAGUCUUAACUGGGCGUUAAGUUGCAGGGUAUAGACCCGAAACCCGGUGAUCUAGCCAUGGGCAGGUUGAAGGUUGGGUAACACUAACUGGAGGACCGAACCGACUAAUGUUGAAAAAUUAGCGGAUGACUUGUGGCUGGGGGUGAAAGGCCAAUCAAACCGGGAGAUAGCUGGUUCUCCCCGAAAGCUAUUUAGGUAGCGCCUCGUGAAUUCAUCUCCGGGGGUAGAGCACUGUUUCGGCAAGGGGGUCAUCCCGACUUACCAACCCGAUGCAAACUGCGAAUACCGGAGAAUGUUAUCACGGGAGACACACGGCGGGUGCUAACGUCCGUCGUGAAGAGGGAAACAACCCAGACCGCCAGCUAAGGUCCCAAAGUCAUGGUUAAGUGGGAAACGAUGUGGGAAGGCCCAGACAGCCAGGAUGUUGGCUUAGAAGCAGCCAUCAUUUAAAGAAAGCGUAAUAGCUCACUGGUCGAGUCGGCCUGCGCGGAAGAUGUAACGGGGCUAAACCAUGCACCGAAGCUGCGGCAGCGACGCUUAUGCGUUGUUGGGUAGGGGAGCGUUCUGUAAGCCUGUGAAGGUGUACUGUGAGGCAUGCUGGAGGUAUCAGAAGUGCGAAUGCUGACAUAAGUAACGAUAAAGCGGGUGAAAAGCCCGCUCGCCGGAAGACCAAGGGUUCCUGUCCAACGUUAAUCGGGGCAGGGUGAGUCGACCCCUAAGGCGAGGCCGAAAGGCGUAGUCGAUGGGAAACAGGUUAAUAUUCCUGUACUUGGUGUUACUGCGAAGGGGGGACGGAGAAGGCUAUGUUGGCCGGGCGACGGUUGUCCCGGUUUAAGCGUGUAGGCUGGUUUUCCAGGCAAAUCCGGAAAAUCAAGGCUGAGGCGUGAUGACGAGGCACUACGGUGCUGAAGCAACAAAUGCCCUGCUUCCAGGAAAAGCCUCUAAGCAUCAGGUAACAUCAAAUCGUACCCCAAACCGACACAGGUGGUCAGGUAGAGAAUACCAAGGCGCUUGAGAGAACUCGGGUGAAGGAACUAGGCAAAAUGGUGCCGUAACUUCGGGAGAAGGCACGCUGAUAUGUAGGUGAAGCGACUUGCUCGUGGAGCUGAAAUCAGUCGAAGAUACCAGCUGGCUGCAACUGUUUAUUAAAAACACAGCACUGUGCAAACACGAAAGUGGACGUAUACGGUGUGACGCCUGCCCGGUGCCGGAAGGUUAAUUGAUGGGGUCAGCGCAAGCGAAGCUCUUGAUCGAAGCCCCGGUAAACGGCGGCCGUAACUAUAACGGUCCUAAGGUAGCGAAAUUCCUUGUCGGGUAAGUUCCGACCUGCACGAAUGGCGUAAUGAUGGCCAGGCUGUCUCCACCCGAGACUCAGUGAAAUUGAACUCGCUGUGAAGAUGCAGUGUACCCGCGGCAAGACGGAAAGACCCCGUGAACCUUUACUAUAGCUUGACACUGAACAUUGAGCCUUGAUGUGUAGGAUAGGUGGGAGGCUUAGAAGUGUGGACGCCAGUCUGCAUGGAGCCGACCUUGAAAUACCACCCUUUAAUGUUUGAUGUUCUAACGUUGACCCGUAAUCCGGGUUGCGGACAGUGUCUGGUGGGUAGUUUGACUGGGGCGGUCUCCUCCUAAAGAGUAACGGAGGAGCACGAAGGUUGGCUAAUCCUGGUCGGACAUCAGGAGGUUAGUGCAAUGGCAUAAGCCAGCUUGACUGCGAGCGUGACGGCGCGAGCAGGUGCGAAAGCAGGUCAUAGUGAUCCGGUGGUUCUGAAUGGAAGGGCCAUCGCUCAACGGAUAAAAGGUACUCCGGGGAUAACAGGCUGAUACCGCCCAAGAGUUCAUAUCGACGGCGGUGUUUGGCACCUCGAUGUCGGCUCAUCACAUCCUGGGGCUGAAGUAGGUCCCAAGGGUAUGGCUGUUCGCCAUUUAAAGUGGUACGCGAGCUGGGUUUAGAACGUCGUGAGACAGUUCGGUCCCUAUCUGCCGUGGGCGCUGGAGAACUGAGGGGGGCUGCUCCUAGUACGAGAGGACCGGAGUGGACGCAUCACUGGUGUUCGGGUUGUCAUGCCAAUGGCACUGCCCGGUAGCUAAAUGCGGAAGAGAUAAGUGCUGAAAGCAUCUAAGCACGAAACUUGCCCCGAGAUGAGUUCUCCCUGACCCUUUAAGGGUCCUGAAGGAACGUUGAAGACGACGACGUUGAUAGGCCGGGUGUGUAAGCGCAGCGAUGCGUUGAGCUAACCGGUACUAAUGAACCGUGAGGCUUAACCUU
rnacentral:rRNA from 1 species